rnacentral:rRNA from 1 species
GACAGAGGCCUCAAGCGUUAGGCGGAAUCACUGGGCUUAAAGCGUGUGUAGGCGGGUCGUUAAGUACCUUGUGAAAUCCCACGGCUCACCCGUGGAACUGCUGGGUAUACUGGCGAUCUUGGGCCAUUCAAGGGCAACUGGAACAAGCGGUGGAGCGGUGAAAUGCGUAGAUAUCGGAAAGAACACCAACGGCGAAAGCACUCUGCUGGGCCGACACUGACACUGAGAGACGAAAGCUAGGGGAGCGAAUGGG